rnacentral:tRNA from 1 species
AUUUAAGUAGUUUAACAUAAAAUAUGAAUUUGUGGUAUUCAAGAAAUUAAUUAAUCUUAAAUAUU